UUCUGCAGAUUGGAACGGUUUGGUGUCUUACGUUGUGUUCUGGUGUUUGGUACGUUGUUUGUACUGUAACAUCACUGAGAUGCAGUAAAUGGAGAGUCAGCUGGGAGGAGCUGACAGCUUGUGAAGGUGUUAUCGGGAUUCCUGAUCAUUUGGAGCACAUAUGGAGGUCAGCCUGUGUUGAUCACCUGCACGUCUUGAGGGGAAGCUGGGCUCAUGAUGUGGGCUUCUACUUAUUUCUUGUUGUUUUUCUUCUACCCUGCCACCCUCUUUUGCCCUUCCUUGUAUUCUCUCCCUCCGCCAUGAGAAUUUGAGGUCUUCUCCCAUAUGAAACCUAUUCUUUUAUUUUUCUAAAAAUACAAGAUAGAUGACUCCAACAGAUGGCGUUUAAUAUAUUUGGCUUUAAAUGUGCCCGUAUUGAAUCAUGCUUUUAUUUAUAUAUAUAUUUAUUUAUUUAUUUAUUGAAACAGAGCCUUGCUCUGUCGCCCAGGCUGGAGUGCAGUGGCAUGAUCUCGGCUCACUGCAACCUCUGCCUCCUGGGUUCAUGCCAUUCUGCUGCCUCAGCCUCCCGAGUGGCUGGGACUACAGGCGGAUCACUUGAGGUCAGGAGUUCGAGGCCAGCCUGGCCAACAUGGCAAAGCCCCGUCUCCACUAAAAAUACAAAAGUUAGCCAUGCCUGGUGGCAGGUGCCUUUAAUCCCAGCUAGUUGGGAGGCUGAGGCAGGACAAUCACUUGAACCUGGGAGGUGGAGGUUGCAAUGAGCCAAGAUCAUACCACUGCACUCCAGCCUGGGCGACAGAGCGAGACUCUGUGUCAAAAAAAGAAAGAAAAAGAAAAUAAAUGGUGGGUUUAACCUCAAAACCCAUGUUUUGUGUUGCUACAUCAGAUCUCUCUGUGUUGGGUGACAGAGGUCAACAAAAGGCAGAUCCCCGGGAAGCUGUCAGGACUAUAAGUGAAAUGUUGUUUGUAUAACCUCGUGGGGUUUGAGCACCACCUUUACCGUCUAUUUUGGCUCAUCUGUUUGUGAUUUUGUUGGUAAGGUCCAUGGGGUUUAGUAGCCCUGCCUACACGGAUGCCGUAUUUAUUGUUAAUAGGGAAUACCAGGUAAAACUUACCUGGGUAAAAAUAUUGGG
rnacentral:lncRNA from 1 species